ensembl:lncRNA
CUUUCUCCAAAGAAGAAAAUUAUGUUGAGAAGACUCAAGAAAAAGAAAGAAAAUUUUCCUUUAAGAUUCACAUUUUUUGUUUGCAAACUUAAUGUAGCUUCUGUGAUUGUCUUCUUAUUAAUUGUUACAUAUACCUCAUUUUUAACACUAUGCUGCACAGAUACUACUCCACUUAUGAUUCAUUAUCUUAUUUUUUGAAAUUAAUGUAUUGAUCAUUUUACACUAAAAUCUACAAAGCAAUGAAUAUUAAAAAAUUUGCAAUAAACUAACUUGAAAUGACAUUCUAAUAGAUUGUAAUUGGUCUGUACGAAUGUAUUCUGCAGGAGUGGCAAGUUUUACAAGACUGAAAUACUGAUCAUUAGCACAACGAUCCAUGUCAGAAGCACCUCUGUUUAUCAUAAUCUCAUUUCCUUAAUGACAUAGGUUAAUUCCUGUUGAAUUGUUUCAGCAAGUACUCCACCUUCUAUUGUGUCAACGGUUUAAGGGCUGGUCUGGCCCGGUUCCGCGACUAGUGGGGCGGAGAGAUUUCACAAAAUCUGCGCCUCCAGGAAGGGAAACAGGGGACCCCAAAAUAAUUAAAAACAGCAGCAACGAUCUGAGGAGAAACAAACUAAUUUACUAAAUAUAGUAUCGGAAUGUAAGAUAACACACUAUAAUACAAUAUAAAUCAACAAUAAUUGAGAGAAAGAUUGCCUGAGAGCCAAAGGCCUUACGCUAAUACUGAAGCCUUGCGUGCAGUCGGGCGCAGCGGUAGCGAGCUGAUCCGACAGGGAACACGGCGAGACGAGAAGAGGGACAAGUCAGAUGACCUGCGCCCUUAUAUCUGUUCCCUUGAGCAGGAAUGAUAACAGUACUCAAAAAGGCUCUUGAGGAACAUAGUUCUUCAUCUCUUCCAGACAGGUACCCAGCACUAAAGCAUUUGCUCUUCAACUCCCAGUACACUGCAUGAUUUUGUGAUGUGGAAUACUGAUAACCAAAAAUCAUAAAACCAUGACAAUUGUGUAAUAUGACCA